ACGAACGCUGGCGGCGUGCUUCACACAUGCAAGUCGCACGGAAAGGCCCUGCUUUUGUGGGGUGCUCGAGUGGCGAACGGGUGGGUAACACGUGAGUAACCUGCCCUUGACUUUGGGAUAACUUCAGGAAACUGGGGCUAAUACCGGAUAGGAGCUCCUGCUGCAUGGUGGGGGUUGGAAAGUUUCGGCGGUUGGGGAUGGACUCGCGGCUUAUCAGCUUGUUGGUGGGGUAGUGGCUUACCAAGGCUUUGACGGGUAGCCGGCCUGAGAGGGUGACCGGCCACAUUGGGACUGAGAUACGGCCCAGACUCCUACGGGAGGCAGCAGUGGGGAAUAUUGCACAAUGGGCGGAAGCCUGAUGCAGCAACGCCGCGUGCGGGAUGACGGCCUUCGGGUUGUAAACCGCUUUCGCCUGUGACGAAGCGUGAGUGACGGUAAUGGGUAAAGAAGCACCGGCUAACUACGUG
rnacentral:rRNA from 1 species